rnacentral:rRNA from 1 species
GAUCCUGGCUCAGGAUGAACGCUAGCGGCAGGCCUAACACAUGCAAGUCGAGGGGCAGCGGGAUUGAAGCUUGCUUCAAUCGCCGGCGACCGGCGCACGGGUGCGUAACGCGUAUGCAACCUACCCAGAACAGGGGGAGUAACACUGAGAAAUUGGUACUAAUAUCCCACUAACAUCAUAAGGGGCGAUCCCUUUUGGUUUGAAAACUACCGGUGGUUCUGGAUGGGCAUGCGUUGUAUUAGCUAGUUGG